GACGAACGCUGGCGGCGUGCUUAACACAUGCAAGUCGAACGGAAAGGCCCUGCUUUUGUGGGGUGCUCGAGUGGCGAACGGGUGAGUAACACGUGAGUAACCUGCCCUGGACUGUGGGAUAACUUCAGGAAACUGGGGCUAAUACCGGAUAGGAGCGCCUGCUGCAUGGUGGUGGUCGGAAAGUUUCGGCGGUUGGGGAUGGACUCGCGGCUUAUCAGCUUGUGGGUGGGGUAGUGGCUUACCAAGGCUUUGACGGGUAGCCGGCCUGAGAGGGUGACCGGCCACCUUGGGACUGCGAUACGGCCCAGACUCCUACGGGGGGCAGCAGUGGGGAGUAUUGCACAAUGGUCGGAAGCCUGUUGAAGCAACGCCGCGUGCGGGAUGACGGCCUUCGGGUUGUAAACCGCUUUCGCCUGUGACGAAGCGUGAGUGACGGUAAUGGGUAAAGAAGCACCGGCUAACUACGUG
rnacentral:rRNA from 1 species